CCAGCGUCACGGCAGGUUUUCACAGUCUGUCAGCGGCAAAUAAAUGUAUACUCAGGCUGUGGUGAGCAAGCAGAAGAGACGGUGCGAAAGCACACAGGCCGGCUUUCACUGAAGCGGAGAUGCCCGGUAACGAUAUAGAUGAAGCAGGACUUUUUUUUUAAAGAAGCGUCCACGACAUCGCGUCUGUUUGCGUGUUCGAUAAUAAAAAGGAAUCUUUGGAGAACUGCGCUAGAAGACAUGAAAAUACUCGAGCGCAGAGAACUGCAACACACACGCUAAUCCUCUCCAAUCUGUCUUCUUUUCACUGUUUUUAUGUUUUAAUCACACAGACUUGUAAUCCGUUCCUUUUGGGAAUGACGUGACAGUGUGCGACCCUAUUUCAGGGCCAGUGGUGGCAGAAAAAAGCACACGAUAAAAACACCUGGCCCACUUUCUGAAAACACACGUUCCUCAGACCCAGGACUGAUUGCUCCUGUCUUCACUUCGAGGAAGUCUGAAAUUGUCUGCAGAUGAAAGGAAGAGAUGAAAACAAAAGCUCUCGCUCUGAGACGGUGAUUGAAAGAGGAACCAGUUCAUAUCUCAGUGUCUGACACGAGAUAAACAGAACCGGCUCAUAUCUCAGUGUCUGACCCGAGACAAACAGAACCGGCUCGUAUCUCAGUUGGUUUCCUCCUGGUUCCUGAGUGCACACUGUCUCAGAUCUCCAGGGGCAACACCUGUUCCCUCAGCCCUGAGCCUCCACAACAACAACGCCCCUGGAGGAGGGAGGAGGAGGGGGCAGGAAGACAAAAGAGACGCUCAGGUGCUGGCUGUUGGGGCUCUCCUUCCACACAGACUCCAUUAGCACUCCCCCUAAUAACAUAUUUCAUCAGCAGGGCUGCAGUCCCAACUGCUGUAAAGAGGGGACC